UACGUAGGGGGCUAGCGUUGUCCGGAAUCAUUGGGCGUAAAGCGCGCGUAGGCGGCCCGGUAAGUCCGCUGUGAAAGUCAAAGGCUCAACCUUUGAAUGUCAGCGGAUACUGCCGGGCUAGAGUCCGGAAGAGGCGAGUGGAAUUCCUGGUGUAGCGGUGAAAUGCGCAGAUAUCAGGAAGAACACCCGUGGCGAAGGCGGCUCUCUGGAACGCAACUGACGCUGAGACGCGAAAAGCGUGGGGAGCAAACAGG
rnacentral:rRNA from 1 species